CCCUCGCCUUUAGUUGCCAGCAUGUUUGGGUGGGCACUCUAAAGGAACUGCCGGUGACAAGCCGGAGGAAGGUGGGGAUGACGUCAAGUCCUCAUGGCCCUUAUGUCCUGGGCUACACACGUGCUACAAUGGCGGUGACAGUGGGAAGCCAGGCAGCGAUGCCGAGCUGAUCUCAAAAAGCCGUCUCAGUUCGGAUUGCACUCUGCAACUCGAGUGCAUGAAGUUGGAAUCGCUAGUAAUCGCGGAUCAGCAUGCCGCGGUGAAUACGUUCCCGGGAGA
rnacentral:rRNA from 1 species